ACAUGCAAGUCGAACGCUUUGUGGUUCAACUGAUUUGAAGAGCUUGCUCAGAUAUGACGAUGGACAUUGCAAAGAGUGGCGAACGGGUGAGUAACACGUGGGAAACCUACCUCUUAGCAGGGGAUAACAUUUGGAAACAGAUGCUAAUACCGUAUAACAAUGACAACCGCAUGGUUGUUAUUUAAAAGAUGGUUCUGCUAUCACUAAGAGAUGGUCCCGCGGUGCAUUAGCUAGUUGGUAAGGUAAUGGCUUACCAAGGCGAUGAUGCAUAGCCGAGUUGAGAGACUGAUCGGCCACAAUGGGACUGAGACACGGCCCAUACUCCUACGGGAGGCAGCAGUAGGGAAUCUUCCACAAUGGGCGAAAGCCUGAUGGAGCAACGCCGCGUGUGUGAUGAAGGGUUUCGGCUCGUAAAACACUGUUGUAAGAGAAGAAUGACAUUGAGAGUAACUGUUCAAUGUGUGACGGUAUCUUACCAGAAAGGAACGGCUAAAUACGUGCCAGCAGCCGCGGUAAUACGUAUGUUCCAAGCGUUAUCCGGAUUUAUUGGGCGUAAAGCGAGCGCAGACGGUUAUUUAAGUCUGAAGUGAAAGCCCUCAGCUCAACUGAGGAAUUGCUUUGGAAACUGGAUGACUUGAGUGCAGUAGAGGAAAGUGGAACUCCAUGUGUAGCGGUGAAAUGCGUAGAUAUAUGGAAGAACACCAGUGGCGAAGGCGGCUUUCUGGACUGUAACUGACGUUGAGGCUCGAAAGUGUGGGUAGCAAACAGGAUUAGAUACCCUGGUAGUCCACACCGUAAACGAUGAGUGCUAGGUGUUUGAGGGUUUCCGCCCUUAAGUGCCGCAGCUAACGCAUUAAGCACUCCGCCUGGGGAGUACGACCGCAAGGUUGAAACUCAAAGGAAUUGACGGGGACCCGCACAAGCGGUGGAGCAUGUGGUUUAAUUCGAAGCAACGCGAAGAACCUUACCAGGUCUUGACAUCCCUUGACAACUCCAGAGAUGGAGCGUUCCCUUCGGGGACAAGGUGACAGGUGGUGCAUGGUUGUCGUCAGCUCGUGUCGUGAGAUGUUGGGUUAAGUCCCGCAACGAGCGCAACCCUUAUUACUAGUUGCCAGCAUUCAGUUGGGCACUCUAGUGAGACUGCCGGUGACAAACCGGAGGAAGGUGGGGAUGACGUCAAAUCAUCAUGCCCCUUAUGACCUGGGCUACACACGUGCUACAAUGGCGUAUACAACGAGUUGCCAACCCGCGAGGGUGAGCUAAUCUCUUAAAGUACGUCUCAGUUCGGAUUGUAGGCUGCAACUCGCCUACAUGAAGUCGGAAUCGCUAGUAAUCGCGGAUCAGCACGCCGCGGUGAAUACGUUCCCGGGUCUUGUACACACCGCCCGUCACACCAUGAGAGUUUGUAACACCCAAAGCCGGUGGGGUAACCUUCGGGAGCCAGCCGUCU
rnacentral:rRNA from 1 species